GCUGUGCUCUUUCAGAGACCGUACCGACUGGAAUCUAGCGACCGCUGACCGUUUUGAAGACUGUACGCGGCCGGCAGCGGGCGGUCCCAUCCUCGCCUCCGGCUAGAGAGGGGGAGACCGCGACAGGGGACCGCGCGUCCCCCGUCCCGUUGUGCCGGCUCGCAGAGUGCGGACGCCGGUGUGUUGAGUGUGUUGUGUCCAGUGCCGUUUGGCGUCUCCUCUUUCGAUCCGACCAUGUAGGUUUCCGCCAGUUUCUGCUGUGUGACAAUCAGUGCAUUUAUCCUAGUUAUUGCAGUGAUAAGUUAAAAAAAAAAACUGGCGCUGAAACGUUCUCUUCAAAAUGGUGGCGAUCACCGUCGUCACUCACUUGCCUGCGGCAAAGAGAAAAAGUGCUGCCGGUGGCGUCAUGUAGCGUCAUGACUUGAAACAGGGCCCGGAGUGCGAGGCUCGACAGGCGACUCAACCCCCACGGCCCUGACUCAACCGCUCAAGAUGUGAAGAUGGCGGAGACUGAGCGUCGGCCGAGGUUGUGUGACGUGAAUGUGAAGUGUAACUGACUCGAAAAAAGUGAAGAGCUGUGCAUAUAUCAUAGAAAUACAUUUUCCCCCGAA
rnacentral:lncRNA from 1 species